rnacentral:rRNA from 1 species
AACUAACAAGGAUUCCCCUAGUAACUGCGAGUGAAGCGGGAAAAGCUCAAAUUUAAAAUCUGGCAGUCUUUGGCUGUCCGAGUUGUAAUCUAGAGAAGUAUUAUCCGCGCUGGACCGUGUACAAGUCUCCUGGAAUGGAGCGUCAUAGAGGGUGAGAAUCCCGUCUUUGACACGGACUGCCAGGGCUUUGUGAUAUGCUCUCAAAGAGUCGAGUUGUUUGGGAAUGCAGCUCAAAAUGGGUGGUAAAUUCCAUCUAAAGCUAAAUAUUGGCGAGAGACCGAUAGCGAACAAGUACCGUGAGGGAAAGAUGAAAAGAACUUUGGAAAGAGAGUUAAACAGUACGUGAAAUUGCUGAAAGGGAAACGCUUGAAGUCAGUCGCGUUGGCCAGGGAUCAACCUUGCUUUUUUGCUUGGCUUACUUUCUGGUCAAUGGGUCAGCAUCAAUUUUGACUGGUGGAAAAAGUUCAAGGGAAUGUGGCAUCUUCGGAUGUGUUAUAGCCUUUGUUCAUAUGCAUUGGUUGGGAUUGAGGAACUCAGCACGCCGAAAGGCCGGGUUUUUUAACCACGUACGUGCUUAGGAUGCUGGCAUAAUGGCUUUAAUCGACCCGUCUUGAAACACGGACCAAGGAGUCUAACAUGCCUGCGAGUGUUUGGGUGAAAAACCCGAGUGCGUAAUGAAAGUGAAAGUUGAGAUCCCUGUCGUGGGGAGCAUUGACGCCCGGAUCUGACCUUUUGUGACGAUUCUGCGGUAGAGCAUGUAUGUUGGGACCCGAAAGAUGGUGAACUAUGCCUGAAUAGGGUGAAGCCAGAGGAAACUCUGGUGGAGGCUCGUAGCGAUUCUGACGUGCAAAUCGAUCGUCAAAUUUGGGUAUAGGGGCGAAAGACUAAUCGAACCAUCUAGUAGCUGGUC